rnacentral:sRNA from 1 species
GACACACAGAACAGGAAGAGUGGGGAUCUGUUGCCAGGAGUGAGCUGCUCACAGCUGCCGGUCACUGUCACCCAGACCAGUCAAUGGCAUUAGUACAGACGUGGUGAGACUCCCAGCAAGAGAGUGUCUCAGUUCACAUUGGAGGUUCAGCAGAGUAGCCAAGAAAGACAAUGGGAAAAUGGCCGUUCACACAGACAGCUCUCUGUGUGCCUGGCAUGAGGCCCUGUGAGAAGAACCCAAAUGGAGGCUUGGGGUUGCCAGUGCAGUGUCCGAGGCCAGGGCUGGUAAGGCAGAGAUUUCAGCCCAUGACAGGCAUUGGUACUCCAGGAUGGAGUUAGAACUUUGAGGACAGACAAUACUUUAAAAUUUGCCACCAGAUACUUCAUGUCACCCACAGCUGUCCCUCAUACCACGGUCUUAAUGGCCUGGUGUCACCAACCCAGACAACUCUGGACUGGUUUUGGUUUUUUUCUAAUAUCAUUCCAACCCUGAGAGUCUCUUCUCUGGCAUGGUCACCUCAGAACUGCAACUGUCCUCGUAUCUCCUUACUGAGCUUUGGUGGAGCCCUGAAGUUGGAUCUGGUGCCACGGUAUAAUCCCAGUAUCUGGGAGGCCGGAGGAUCGUGAGUUCAAGUUUACCCUCAGCUUUAAAGCAAGCUUGGGGGUGCCUGUCUCAGAAAACAAAAACAAACCUAAGAAAAGCCAGGAAACAACCAAAACCAAAAACAGUCAAGUACUAACUUUAUUCAUUUAUCUAUUUUGAUUUUGGGGGAUAAAGUUUCAUACUGUAGUUCAGACUGCCUUCGAACUUGCAGCAAAUCUCCUGCCUCAACCUUCCAUGUGUUGGGAUUGCAGGCGUGCACUACCCCCAAAUGUUUAGAAGCUUUAGCUUCAAACGUUUAACAGAGACUGUGAGGCCACAGACCACAGUUUGGCUGCCACUGUGUCAUCAUUUCCUAAGCAUGGGUCAACUGUCACUAGACUGUCUCGGCCCUUUUAUAAACCAGAAAAGGAAGAACUGGAGCAUGUUUAAAUAUAGAUAUGCAAAGUCCACCAGAGCAGGCACCUCGGUGAACACUGUGGGGGGGGGGAUUGCUCACUCUGUCAAAGUACCAGGAGCAGAUCUAGUUCUGACCUAGGCCUUUGAGGUUGGCCAUCAUCCUGCCCGUGCCCUGGAGAAGCAUUCUCUCAGCCGCUUGCCCCUCCCUUGCCCUGUCCUUUCUCUUUCUAAUCUGGAGAUCAAUUGCCUGACACUGGCAACGUCCACACAGCAGCAGCACCAGGAGAAAAGGACACGCAAAACAACUUGGAUAUACACUGGAUAGAGAUCUCAAUCCAAUCAAACUCUGGGACUUCCUACUCUUUAGUCACAGGAACUACAGAAGAGCCUGGAGGAGCCAGGCUGAGAAAAUGGGGGUCUUCAGACACACAGGUACCUUGAGGGCCCCAGAGGGCCUGGGCAUGUGACUGGGCUUCUGAGGGCAGGACAGAGCCUGUGUCUUUCAUUAAUACCUGGAUAUGGGUGUUUGCUCUAGAAUCAUCUUUAGGUGGCAUGUCAAAAA